rnacentral:rRNA from 1 species
UGGGGAAUAUUGCACAAUGGGCGAAAGCCUGAUGCAGCGACGCCGCGUGAGGGAUGACGGCCUUCGGGUUGUAAACCUCUUUCAGCAGGGAAGAAGCGAAAGUGACGGUACCUGCAGAAGAAGCACCGGCUAACUACGUGCCAGCAGCCGCGGUAAUACGUAGGGUGCGAGCGUUGUCCGGAAUUAUUGGGCGUAAAGAGCUUGUAGGCGGUCUGUCGCGUCUGCUGUGAAAAUCCGGGACUCAAUCCCGGACCUGCAGUGGGUACGGGCAGACUAGAGUGCGGUAGGGGAGACUGGAAUUCCUGGUGUAGCGGUGAAAUGCGCAGAUAUCAGGAGGAACACCGAUGGCGAAGGCAGGUCUCUGGGCCGCAACUGACGCUGAGAAGCGAAAGCAUGGGGAGCGAACAGG